rnacentral:rRNA from 1 species
CCUAUGCCGGAUUAGCUUGUUGGUGGGGUAACGGCCUACCAAGGCGACGAUCCGUAGCUGGUCUGAGAGGACGACCAGCCACACUGGGACUGAGACACGGCCCAGACUCCUACGGGAGGCAGCAGUAGGGAAUAUUGGACAAUGGGCGAAAGCCUGAUCCAGCAAUGCCGCGUGUGUGAAGAAGGCCUAUGGGUUGUAAAGCACUUUCAGUUGGGAAGAAAAGCUUUAGGUUAAUACCCUAGAGUCUUGACGUUACCAAUAGAAGAAGCACCGGCUAACUCUGUGCCAGCAGCCGCGGUAAGACAGAGGGUGCGAGCGUUAAUCGGAAUUACUGGGCGUAAAGCGUACGUAGGUGGUUGAGUAAGUCGGAUGUGAAAGCCCAAGGCUUAACCUUGGAACUGCAUUCGAUACUGUUCAACUAGAGUACAGUAGAGGGAAGCG